AUUGAACGCUGGCGGCAGGCCUAACACAUGCAAGUCGAACGAGUGGCGGACGGGUGAGUAAUGUCUGGGAAACUGCCUGAUGGAGGGGGCUAACUACUGGAAACGGUAGCUGAUACCGCAUACCAUCGGAUGUCCCAAGAUUGGAUUAGCUAGUCGGUGGGGUAAAGGCUCACCUAGGCGACGAUCCCUACCUGGUCUGAGAGGAUGACCAGCCACACUGGCACUGAGACACGGUCCAGACUCCUACGGGAGGCAGCAGUGGGGAUUAUUGCACAAUGGGCGCAAGCCUGAUGCAGUCAUGCCGCGUGUAUGAAGAAGGCCUUCGGGUUGUAAAGUACUUUCAGCGGGGAGGCGUUACCCGCAGAAGAAGCACCGGCUAACUCCGUGCCAGCAGCCGCGGUAAUUC
rnacentral:rRNA from 1 species